rnacentral:lncRNA from 1 species
AUCUCUUUCUGCUGGAUACUUUGGGUGUUUCUACUUUGUAUACAGAAUGCUGAUUGAUAUAUAGGACACAGCUGGGCCAGGUGAAAGCUGGGCUAAACAAAGGAGGGGUCAGCCUGGGCCUGAUUCAGAGGCCAAGGAAGAUGCUGACCCUGGUGUCUGUGAUGAGGAUGUGAUGUGGUUGAGAAAAAUCUCGAGCUUCAGGGUCAGAGGCUCUCAGGGUGAGCAGGGACAGACCAUCAGCCGGGCUUCAGUGACCUGCUGUGGACGCUGGAGGGGAGCAUUGCAGAAAUCCCAACAGGUCCUUUCAAAGGUGGCCUAGAACUGCCCUCAUUCAGAAACCAAGGGCUGCUCUCCUGUGGAGGGCUGAAGAAGACGGGCAAACAAAUCCAGCCACAGCUCACCCAGAGCCUGGGGUCCGGCUGGGUCUGGGUGACCAAUGUGGGGCCAAUUCUAGUACAUCCAGAGGAGGACAGGUGAGCAGCCCCCUCAAGGGGGCAGGCUGGAAAAGUGCAGAGUGUCAAGAAUUUCCUGGGGAAAGUGCUCAGGCUGCCUCGGCCCUGUGGUGCGCAUCUGCCAGCCCCCAGAGCAGUUCACCCUUUCAAGAGGAGAUGCUGCAGCAACCAGAGGGGCUCCGAGGUGCCUGCCCAGCUGGGCCCUGCACCCAAGAGAAAGGAGAGGCUGAGGCUACUGCAAAGGUACCAAGUUCCCGCCGGACUUACAUCUGAGCACCACACAUUCCCCCUACAGAAAGAUUAAAAGAGACUGUCUGCAGCUGAAUGACUAGGAGUAAUGGAAUUAGGCGUGAUCUGUGCGGUACCUGGCUCUCAGCUCCUGGCUGCAUUUGAUUGGCAGAGACAUCAUUUGCUGAGUGUUGCUGCCUGCCCAGUGACAUACAGCUACUGUGCCAGGCUUGGGGAUGCCUCCAUGGAGAUUGCAGCCUUAAACUGGACAAGGGCUACCCAGGGGCCUAUGGAAGAAUACAAGAGGGGUCUCACUGUCUCUCUGGGAGAAACCAUUAUAGCAUAGAGCAACUGUAUUUUGGUAAUACCAGGCUACGCUGUGUUUUUUUUUUUAAUUAACCUCCAAAUCUUAAUAUCUUAAUGCAAUAAAAUAUUUACUUUUUGCACAUGUAAAUUCCAGUGUAGGAUGUCUGAUUCUCC